CGGAGAGGCCGAGGUGAUCGCCGGUGACGCCACGCAAGUGACGGCACGGGAGGAAAGUCCGAGCUUCGCAGGGCAGGGUGCUGGUUAACGGCCAGUCGAGGUAACUCGCAGGACAGUGCAACAGAAAGCAAACCGCCGGCCGGCGAUCACAUCAAUGGCAGGUAAGGGUGAAAGGGUGCGGUAAGAGCGCACCGCUCCGUUGGUGACAACGGAGGCUAGGUAAACCCCACCCGAAGCAAGACCAGACAGGGGUCGUGCUGCCCGCACGAUGACUCCGGGUUGGUCGCUGGAGCCCGUCAGCAAUGGCGGGCCUAGAUGAAUGAUCGCCACGACACAGAACUCGGCUUACCGACCUCUCCGCCGA
rnacentral:RNase_P_RNA from 1 species